rnacentral:tRNA from 1 species
GCCUGGGUGGCUCAGUCGGUUAAGCGUCUGACUUUGGCUCAGGUCAUCAUCUCACGGUUCACGGGUUCAUGGGUUCAUGGGUUCGAGCCCUGUGUCGGGCU